GACGUAGGGUGCAAGCGUUGUCCGGAAUUACUGGGCGUAAAGAGCUCGUAGGUGGUUUGUCGCGUUGUUCGUGAAAACUCACAACUCAAUUGUGGGCGUGCGGGCGAUACGGGCAGACUGGAGUACUGCAGGGGAGACUGGAAUUCCUGGUGUAGCGGUGGAAUGCGCAGAUAUCAGGAGGAACACCGGUGGCGAAGGCGGGUCUCUGGGCAGUGAACUGACGCUGGAGGAGCGAAAGCGUGGGGAGCGAUCCGG
rnacentral:rRNA from 1 species